ACGAUACCCCCGCAGAAAGGCAGAGCUCCCUCCUCCCCAAAAAAAGCGAGACGACGGGACGAGACGGCGCGAGCGAGACAGACAGACAGGAGGCCGAGGCCGAGGCGCGACCCACCCAAGCAAGCCCUAGGCGACGAGACGCGACGGCGACGGCGGCCGCGGCGGCGAAGGCGUACCCCGCGCCCGCGUGCCCGGAUUCGGGGCUCAUCCGCUAGGCCCGGCCAUGUCCACCAAGAGGGUUCUUUGCAAGUUCUUCAUGCAUGGUGCUUGCUUGAAAGGAGAGUAUUGUGAGUUCUCCCACGACUGGAGUGACCAAGCAAAUAAUGUUUGCACGUUUUACCAGAGAGGCUCAUGCUCUUAUGGUAACCGUUGCAGAUAUGACCAUGUCAAGGUUUCUCGUAACAACCCAGUGCCUCCACUACCAUCAUCAAGUACCGCAACACGUAAUUCCCCAGUUCGCCUGCCACCAUCAUCAAGUACUGCGACACAUGUUGCAUCUACAUCUCCACAACUUUUAAGUUCUGGACGUCCUCUUCACUUGGGACACCAAACAAAUUCAAGCAACCAACGGCAACAGAUAUCUAUGGAUAAGCUGGCAGUUUCUGAAAGUAAGCCUGCAUGGAGGAAUGAGGUCCAACUUGACAGUGUAUCAGAGGAUGGGAUUGGCUGGUCAUCCAUUCAAACUGCGCAAAACCAAACUUCCAUGAAACUUGCUGAUAUGCCAAUUUGUUCUUUUGCUGCUGGUGGUAACUGCCCGUAUGGGGAAGAGUGCCCUCACAUGCAUGGGGAUUUGUGUGCGUUCUGUGGGAAAAUGUGCUUGCAUCCUUAUCGUCCUGAUGAGAGGCAGGAGCAUAUCAAGCUAUGUGAAAAGAACCACAAGCGUCUCGAGGCUUUGAAACGUAGCCAAGAAAUAGAAUGCAGUGUCUGCUUGGACCGUGUGCUCUCAAAGCCUACUGCUGCUGAAAGGAAAUUUGGACUAUUAUCUGAAUGUGAUCAUCCCUUCUGUAUUUCAUGCAUAAGAAAUUGGCGUGGCAACUCUCCUACAUCUGGUAUGGAUGUGAACUCAGCACUGAGAGCUUGCCCAAUAUGCCGCAAGCUUUCGUACUAUGUCAUUCCAAGUGUUCUUUGGUACUUCUCGAAAGAGGAAAAGUUGGAGAUCACUGAAAACUACAAAGCAAAGCUCAAGUCAAUAGAUUGCAAGUACUUCGAUUUCGGAACGGGCACUUGCCCCUUCGGGACAAGCUGUUUCUACAAGCAUGCUUACAGAGAUGGCCGCUUGGAAGAAGUCGUACUGCGACAUCUUGAUUGUGAUGAUGGAAGUACACUUAUUGCUAAGAACAUUAGGUUGUCAGACUUCCUCGGCCGGUUGCAUCUUUAGGGACCUGCGGCUGCAUAUAUAUUGAAUUAUUCCGAAGACAUCAGUUUAAAUCGAGGCAUCUUGGAAAACUGCUGCUUUAUCUCCAAUUCAUUGGUGGUUGCUUUGUCGCCAAACAUACAAAGAAAAUUCGAAGUUCGCUGCCGGACACCUGGAUGACCUUGUAGCACUAGUGACCAGUGAAACAAUGGAAAAGAAGUUAUGCCGCGAGUAUGCUUGAAAAGUGAAAAGAAAAAAUUACAAUAAUUAGAACUGCUGAAACGCCUUUCUGUAUGCACUUUGUGUUGCUUCCUGGGUGGUCACCAGUGAUUCGGUAGAACGUUACCUGGCCAUUGUGCGAACGACCGGUGUGUAAUACUCAUUUCCAAACUGCCAUUCCCCUGUUGAGGAAGGCUACCGCACCAACAACUGGUGAACUGAGACCGUUUGGUUGUAUAACGUGUAUGCUGGAGGAAAAAGGAAAAGAAUUCAAUGAAUAUGCUUCAUACUUGAUGAUCUGAA